GAUAUGGCUCAGUUGGUAGAGCGCACCCUUGGUAAGGGUGAGGUCCCCAGUUCGACUCUGGGUAUC
rnacentral:tRNA from 2 species